rnacentral:rRNA from 1 species
UACGAAGGGGGCUAGCGUUGCUCGGAAUGACUGGGCGUAAAGGGCGCGUAGGCGGCUCAUACAGUCAGAUGUGAAAUUCCUGGGCUUAACCUGGGGGCUGCAUUUGAUACGUGUGGGCUUGAGUGGGGAAGAGGGUCGUGGAAUUCCCAGUGUAGAGGUGAAAUUCGUAGAUAUUCGGAGGAACACCAGUGGCGAAGGCGGCUCACUGGCUCGACACUGACGCUGAGGUGCGAAAGCGUGGGGAGCAAACGGG